CCUACGGGCGGCAGCAGUGAGGAAUAUUGGUCAAUGGGUGCGAGCCUGAACCAGCCAAGUAGCGUGAAGGAUGACUGCCCUACGGGUUGUAAACUUCUUUUAUAAAGGAAUAAAGUGAGGCACGUGUGCCUUUUUGUAUGUACUUUAUGAAUAAGGAUCGGCUAACUCCGGUCCAGCAGCCGCGGUAAUACGGAGGAUCCGCGCGUUAUCCGGAUUUAUUGGGUUUAAAGGGAGCGUAGAUGGGUUGUUAAGUCAGUUGUGUAAGUUUGCGGCGCAACCGUAAAAUUGCAAUUGAUACUGGCAGCCUUGAGUACAGUUGAGGUAGGCGGAAUUCGUGGUGUAGCGGUGAAAUGCUUAGAUAUCACGAAGAACUCCGAUUGCGAAGGCAGCAUACCGGCGCGCAACUGACGCUCAUGCACGAAAGCGUGGGUAUCGAACAGGAUUAGAUACCCGAGUAGUC
rnacentral:rRNA from 1 species